rnacentral:rRNA from 1 species
UGGGGAAUAUUGGACAAUGGGCGAAAGCCUGAUCCAGCCAUGCCGCGUGUGUGAAGAAGGUCUUCGGAUUGUAAAGCUCUUUAAGUUGGGAGGAAGGGCAGUAAGCGAAUACCUUGCUGUUUUGACGUUACCGACAGAAUAAGCACCGGCUAACUCUGUGCCACCAGCCGCGGUAAUACAGAGGGUGCAAGCGUUAAUCGGAAUUACUGGGCGUAAAGCGCGCGUAGGUGGUUCGUUAAGUUGAAUGUGAAAGCCCCGGGCUCAACCUGGGAACUGCAUCAGAAACAGGCGAGCUAGAGUAGGGCAGAGGGGGGUGGAAUUACCUGUGUAGCGGUGAAAUGCGUAGAUAUAGGAAGGAACACCAGUGGCGAAGGCGACCACCUGGGCUCAUACUGACGCUGAGGUGCGAAAGCGUGGGGAGCAAACAGG